GGCUUCGUAACUCAGCUGGUAGAGCAUGCGCGUACACAACGUAGGCGGUGCCCGUGCGUGGGUUCGAAUCCCACCGAGGCUA
rnacentral:tRNA from 1 species